rnacentral:sRNA from 13 species
GCUGGGCAUGGUGGCGCGUGCCUGUAGUCCCAGCUACUUGGGAGGCUGAGGCAGGAGAAUUGCUUGAACCCAGGAGGCAGAGGUUGUAGUGAGCCAAGACCCAGCCAUUGCACUCCAGCCUGGGCUACAGAGCGACACUCUGUCUCAA